GUGGGAUUAGUAUAACGGUCAGUACCAGGGUCUUAUAUGCCUUAGACAGGGGUUCAACUCCCUUAUCCCACA
rnacentral:tRNA from 1 species